GGCCCGCACAAGCGGUGGAGCAUGUGGUUUAAUUCGAUGCAACGCGAAGAACCUUACCUACUCUUGACAUCCAGAGAAUUUAGCAGAGAUGCUUUAGUGCCUUCGGGAACUCUGAGACAGGUGCUGCAUGGCUGUCGUCAGCUCGUGUUGUGAAAUGUUGGGUUAAGUCCCGCAACGAGCGCAACCCUUAUCCUUUGUUGCCAGCGAUUCGGUCGGGAACUCAAAGGAGACUGCCGGUGAUAAACCGGAGGAAGGUGGGGAUGACGUCAAGUCAUCAUGGCCCUUACGAGUAGGGCUACACACGUGCUACAAUGGCGUAUACAAAGAGAAGCGACCUCGCGAGAGCAAGCGGAACUCAUAAAGUACGUCGUAGUCCGGAUUGGAGUCUGCAACUCGACUCCAUGAAGUCGGAAUCGCUAGUAAUCGUAGAUCAGAAUGCUACGGUGAAUACGUUCCCGGGCCUUGUACACACCGCCCGUCACACCAUGGGAGUGGGUUGCAAAAGAAGUAGGUAGCUUAACCUUCGGGAGGGCGCUUACCACUUUGUGAUUCAUGACUGGGGUGAAGUCGUAA
rnacentral:rRNA from 1 species